GGCGGACGGGUGAGUAACGCGUAAGAACUUGCCCUUUAGACUGGGAUAACAGAGGGAAACUUCUGAUAAUACUGGAUAAGUUAGUAUAUCGCAUGAUAUGCAAAUGAAAGCUACGGCACUAAAGGAGAGCUUUGCGUCCUAUUAGCUAGUUGGUAAGGUAAGAGCUUACCAAGGCGAUGAUAGGUAGCCGGCCUGAGAGGGUGGACGGCCACAAGGGGACUGAGAUACGGCCCUUACUCCUACGGGAGGCAGCAGAC
rnacentral:rRNA from 1 species